rnacentral:rRNA from 1 species
UACAGAGGGUGCAAGCGUUAAUCGGAAUUACUGGGCGUAAAGCGUGCGUAGGCGGUAGCGCAAGUCGGGUGUGAAAGCCCCGGGCUCAACCUGGGAAUUGCAUUCGAGACUGCUCUGCUAGGGUGCGGAAGAGGGAAGCGGAAUUUCCGGUGUAGCGGUGAAAUGCGUAGAUAUCGGAAGGAACACCAGUGGCGAAAGCGGCUUCCUGGUCCAGCACCGACGUUCAGGCACGAAAGCGUGGGGAGCAAACAGG